UGAACCUGCGGAGGGAUCAUUACCGAGUUAUACAACUCAUCAACCCUGUGAACAUACCUAAAACGUUGCUUCGGCGGGAACAGACGGCCCCGUAACACGGGCCGCCCCCGCCAGAGGACCCCCUAACUCUGUUUCUAUUAUGUUUCUUCUGAGUAAAACAAGCAAAUAAAUUAAAACUUUCAACAACGGAUCUCUUGGCUCUGGCAUCGAUGAAGAACGCAGCGAAAUGCGAUAAGUAAUGUGAAUUGCAGAAUUCAGUGAAUCAUCGAAUCUUUGAACGCACAUUGCGCCCGCCAGUAUUCUGGCGGGCAUGCCUGUUCGAGCGUCAUUACAACCCUCAGGCCCCCGGGCCUGGCGUUGGGGAUCGGCGAGGCGCCCCCUGCGGGCACACGCCGUCCCCCAAAUACAGUGGCGGUCCCGCCGCAGCUUCCAUUGCGUAGUAGCUAACACCUCGCAACUGGAGAGCGGCGCGGCCACGCCGUAAAACACCCAACUUCUGAAUGUUGACCUCGAAUCAGGUAGGAAUACCCGCUGAACUUAAGCAUAUCAAU
rnacentral:misc_RNA from 1 species